UACGGAGGGGGCUAGCGUUGUUCGGAAUUACUGGGCGUAAAGCGCGCGUAGGCGGACCUGCAAGUCGGGGGUGAAAGCCCGAGGCUCAACCUCGGAACUGCCUUCGAUACUGCGGGUCUCGAGUCCGGGAGAGGUGAGUGGAAUUCCUAGUGUAGAGGUGAAAUUCGUAGAUAUUAGGAAGAACACCAGUGGCGGCAAGGCGCUCACUGGCCCGGUACUGACGCUGAGGCGCGAAAGGCGUGGGGAGCAAACAGG
rnacentral:rRNA from 1 species